AUUGAGGAGGAUCGUCCAUCCUACUUUGGUUCGUUGUUAUAUAUGGCUGUCUCUCUGCAACAGACGACAUAAGAGCGCGAGAUAUCGGAGAUUGCUUUUUGUUUAUACCGUACUACCAUGAGUCUUCGCCGAGAGAUAUGUAGAUGGCUUGAAGAGCAUGACAUAUACUGUGUGUCGAUAUUUCUCCUCGGACUUGAAAAUUUAUGGGGGGACACGCAAACUUCUCAACAGGCCGUACCAAUAUCCGCAGCUGGUCUCCAAGGUGAAGAGUCUCUAGUCGAUAGAAUAAUGUAGGUAAGGGAAGUCGGCAAAUUAGAUCCGUAACUUCGGGAUAAGGAUUGGCUCUGAAGAUUGAGAUAGUCGGGCUUGAUUGGGAAACAAUAACAUGGUUUAUGUGCUCGUUCUGGGUAAAUAGAGUUUCUAGCAUUUAUGUUAGUUACUUGUUCCCCGGAUAGUUUAGUUACGUAGCCAAUUGUGGAACUUUCUUGCUAAAAUUUUUAAGAAUACUAUUUGGGUUAAACCAAUUAGUUCUUAUCAAUUAUAACGAUUAUCAAUUAACAAUCAAUUCAGAACUGGCACGGACUUGGGGAAUCCGACUGUCUAAUUAAAACAAAGCAUUGUGAUGGCCCUAGCGGGUGUUGACACAAUGUGAUUUCUGCCCAGUGCUCUGAAUGUCAAAGUGAAGAAAUUCAAGUAAGCGCGGGUCAACGGCGGGAGUAACUAUGACUCUCUUAAGGACUCUCUUAAGGAACUAUGACUCUCCCUGACGCCAGGGAGGUGCCGUCAGGUAUUAUGUUGCGAAUAAUGAACCUAAUUCUAUGGUGCGGUAAUCUACCACACUCUAUCCGACUGGCCAGAACCGUCUUCAUCCCGAAAACGGU
rnacentral:ncRNA from 1 species